AAUAUGACCGCUUGCUGUGAGAGACAACGGGACAGGUGAGACGCACGUGUGUUUAUCUGCUGCAGAGAGACUGAUGAAGAAAUGAUGCCAUCAAAGGAUUUGUAUCUUUUGUGGUGGAGCAG